CGGGGGGGGCAAGCGUUGUUCGGAAUUACUGGGCGUAAAGGGCUCGUAGGCGGCCAACUAAGUCAGACGUGAAAUCCCUCGGCUUAACCGGGGAACUGCGUCUGAUACUGGAUGGCUUGAAUCCGGGAGAGGGAUGUGGAAUUCCAGGUGUAGCGGUGAAAUGCGUAGAUAUCUGGAGGAACACCGGUGGCGAAGGCGGCAUCCUGGACCGGCAUUGACGCUGAGGAGCGAAAGCCAGGGGAGCAAACGGGAUUAGAUACCCCGGUAGUCCUGGCCCUAAACGAUGAAUGCUUGGUGUGGCGGGUAUCGAUCCCUGCCGUGCCGAAGCUAACGCAUUAAGCAUUCCGCCUGGGGAGUACGGUCGCAAGGCUG
rnacentral:rRNA from 1 species